rnacentral:lncRNA from 1 species
CUGGAUUGUACUGCCCUGGGUGUCUAAAAGUCUGGUGUUUUUUUCUUUCUUCCUUUGAGUAGUUCUGAAUAGCAUUGAAGAAGCUUAAAACAGGAAGAAAACCUGCCUUUUCAAUCAAGUUUAUUUAUAGCUACUCCCCCCUCCAAAAAAAAAAAGUAAAAGAAAAAUGUAACUUUCUCAUAACGUUAGACUUAACUUAUUUUUCUCUGAAGAUUUGUUCUGUGCCUUGAUGUGAAC